AUUGAACGCUGGCGGCAUGCUUUACACAUGCAAGUCGAACGGUAACAGGGUGCUUGCACCGCUGACGAGUGGCGAACGGGUGAGUAAUGCGUCGGAACGUGCCGAGUAGUGGGGGAUAACGCAGCGAAAGUUGUGCUAAUACCGCAUACGUACUGAGGUAGAAAGGGGGGGACCUUCGGUCCUCACGCGAUUCGAGCGGCCGACGUCUGAUUAGCGUAGUAGGUGAGGUAAAGGCUCACCUAGGCGACGAUCAGUAGUGGGUCUGAGAGGAUGUGUCGGCACCGUGGCAACGAGACACGGCACAGACUCCUACGGGAGGCAGCAGUCGGGAAUUUUGGAAAAGGGGCGAAAGCCUGAUCCUGCCAUGCCGCGUGUCUGAAGAAGGCCGUCGGGUUGUAAAGGACUUUUGUCAGGGAGGAAAUCCCUAGUGGUAAUAACCCUGGGGGAUGACAGUACCUGAAGAAUAAGCACCGGCUAACUACGUGCCAGCCGCCGCCGUAA
rnacentral:rRNA from 1 species